rnacentral:misc_RNA from 1 species
UGUGUAUCUAAUAUAUAUUCUUGAAGACAGAAAUAUAUAUUAUACUACAAAGAGAUUACUAAUAAAUUAAAUAGGCAUUAAAAAUUAUUAUGUCAAUGACCCAACACAGACAGUCAAAUGUGUAGCUGCGACUUAACUUUUAUGACGUUAUCUGCGUUAUCACGACAAAACUUUAUUCAUCAAAACAAACUUCAAACUUCAAAAAUACAAUUCAAAUCAAAACAACAAAUAAAAACUUUUCUAAAUUACGGAAAAGUUUAGACGAUUAAUAGAAUAACAAAGAUUUAUUGAAAUUGGUGUUCAAUGAUUUUGCAAUGAAAACUGUUACAACUUUGACGUUAUUCGCUUUAAUACAAACGGCGACUAGCUUCGGU